rnacentral:rRNA from 1 species
UACGUAGGGGGCGAGCGUUGUCCGGAAUCAUUGGGCGUAAAGCGCGCGUAGGCGGCCCCGUAAGUCCGCUGUGAAAGUCAAAGGCUCAACCUUUGAAAGCCGGUGGAUACUGUGGGGCUAGAGUCCGGAAGAGGCGAGUGGAAUUCCUGGUGUAGCGGUGGAAUGCGCAGAUAUCAGGAGGAACACCAAUAGCGAAGGCAGCUCGCUGGGACGGUACUGACGCUAAGGCGCGAAAGCGUGGGGAGCGAACAGG